CCGAGUUUACAACUCCCAAACCCCUGUGAACAUACCUAUCGUUGCUUCGGCGGGAUGCCCCAGUUUGACGCAAGCUGGACCCAGGCGCCCGCCGGAGGACCCAAACUCUUGUUUUAUUUAUGUAUCUUCUGAGUAAACAAGCAGAUAAAUUA
rnacentral:misc_RNA from 1 species